UGGAUCCAGACUUUGAUCAUGGCUCAGGAUGAACGCUAGCUACAGGCUUAACACAUGCAAGUCGAGGGGAAACGACAUCGAAAGCUUGCUUUUGAUGGGCGUCGACCGGCGCACGGGUGAGUAACGCGUAUCCAACCUGCCCACCACUUGGGGAUAACCUUGCGAAAGUAAGACUAAUACCCAAUGAUAUCUCUAGAAGACAUCUGAAGGAGAUUAAAGAUUUAUCGGUGAUGGAUGGGGAUGCGUCUGAUUAGCUUGUUGGCGGGGUAACGGCCCACCAAGGCGACGAUCAGUAGGGGUUCUGAGAGGAAGGUCCCCCACAUUGGAACUGAGACACGGUCCAAACUCCUACGGGAGGCAGCAGUGAGGAAUAUUGGUCAAUGGACGAGAGUCUGAACCAGCCAAGUAGCGUGCAGGAUGACGGCCCUAUGGGUUGUAAACUGCUUUUAUAAGGGAAUAAAGUGAGUCUCGUGAGACUUUUUGCAUGUACCUUAUGAAUAAGGACCGGCUAAUUCCGUGCCAGCAGCCGCGGUAAUACGGAAGGUCCGGGCGUUAUCCGGAUUUAUUGGGUUUGAAGGGAGCGUAGGCCGGAGAUUAAGCGUGUUGUGAAAUGUAGACGCUCAACGUCUGCACUGCAGCGCGAACUGGUUUCCUUGAGUACGCACAAAGUGGGCGGAAUUCGUGGUGUAGCGGUGAAAUGCUUAGAUAUCACGAAGAACUCCGAUUGCGAAGGCAGCUUACUGGAGCGCAACUGACGCUGAAGCUCGAAAGUGCGGGUAUCGAACAGGAUUAGAUACCCUGGUAGUCCACACGGUAAACGAUGGAUGCCCGCUGUUGGUCUGAAUAGGUCAGCGGCCAAGCGAAAGCAUUAAGCAUCCCACCUGGGGAGUACGCCGGCAACGGUGCAACUCAAAGGAAUUGACGGA
rnacentral:rRNA from 1 species